ensembl:lncRNA
GUGGAGAGAGGACACAGGCUAUCCAUGUGUACGGGCUAGACAUGAGCUCAGUGUAGAGCAGUGAGACUCUGUGGGGUCAUUGACCUCCAGUGACCUCCAGUGACUUCCAGUGACCUCCAGAAACGUGGUGAGUGGAGGACACCACUGAGGGAAAAGUGGUGACAGGUUGGAGGUUCCAGACAGGUUGGAGGUUCCAGACAGGUUGGAGGUUCCAGACAGGUUGGAGGAGACUAGAGGUUCCAGAGGUUCCAGACAGGUUGGAGGAGACUAGAGGUUCCAGGGGUUCCAGACAGGUUGGAGGAGACUACAGGUUCCAGGGGUUCCAGACAGGUUGGAGGAGACUACAGGUUCCAGA